GCCUUCGUGGUGUAGUGGUCAGCACGCUCGUCGAAUAACCGAGAGGUCCGUGGUUCGAGUCCCGGAGAGGGCA
rnacentral:tRNA from 1 species